rnacentral:misc_RNA from 1 species
CUUCCACUCUUCUUGGAUUUCAGGUUUGUUCUUGCUUUCUGUUUCUUCUUACAAAGCGAAAUAGUUGGUUAUUGUCUUUGUUUUAUUUUUGUAUGCAUUUGUUUUAUUUUUUCAACUCUACUUCUCUUUAAGCUUUAUUUGAUUAUUUUACCGAGACAGUAGUGGAACAAGAACAGUUUUUUCCUUUGUUUGAUGCUUAAGUUUUGUUUAUAGCUUGAAUCGAGUGGUACUGAGUGCUCUGCUUCAGGGAUCAGUGCAAAUCGAAUUGUGAUUUUCUGAACCUAUUUCAGCUUAGUUUUUUGGCUUAUGAAUCACCAGCGACCUGAUUUGUCCGCAUUAACACCCCAUUUAGUUUUUAUGCUUAUGUUUAUUAACGUAUGGUAUCUUAUCCUAUGGGCUUUUAUGGAUUUUAUUGUUAACAUGUUUUGAUGCAAAGAUGACAUGGAAUAUUAAGGUAAAAUAAAUAUAAAAAUUAUUAAAAUAUUCUAUUAAUAUUUUAAAUAUAUAAAUAGUUUAAAUGGUAAGAUAUAAUUGAAAUUUUAUAAA